AAGAGACAGCAGCCGCCACGGUAAAACGUAGGUGGCAAGCGUUGUCCGGAAUUAUUGGGCGUAAAGGGUGCGUAGGCGGUUUGACAAGUCUUACGUGAAAUCUUCGGGCUCAACCCGAAGCCUGCAUGGGAGACUGUCGAGCUUGAGUAUGGGAGAGGAUGGUAGAAUUCCAGGUGUAGCGGUGAAAUGCGUAGAGAUCUGGAGGAAUACCGAUGGCGAAGGCAGCCAUCUGGCCUAAUACUGACGCUGAGGUACGAAAGCAUGGGGAGCAAACAGGAUUAGAUACCCGCGUAGUCCCUGUCUCUUAUAC
rnacentral:rRNA from 1 species